rnacentral:rRNA from 1 species
UACGAAGGGGGCUAGCGUUGUUCGGAUUUACUGGGCGUAAAGAGCUCGUAGGCGGUUUGUCGCGUCUGCUGUGAAAACUGGAGGCUCAACCUCCAGCCUGCAGUGGGUACGGGCAAACUAGAGUGCGGUAGGGGAGAUUGGAAUUCCUGGUGUAGCGGUGGAAUGCGCAGAUAUCAGGAGGAACACCUGUGGCGAAGGCGGCUCGCUGGGCCGGUCCUGACGCUGAACGCGAAGGCGUGGGGAGCGAACGGG